UCAGCUCGUGUCGUGAGAUGUUGGGUUAAGUCCCGUAACGAGCGCAACCCUUGUCCUUAGUUACCAGCACGUUAUGGUGGGCACUCUAAGGAGACUGCCGGUGACAAACCGGAGGAAGGUGGGGAUGACGUCAAGUCAUCAUGGCCCUUACGGCCUGGGCUACACACGUGCUACAAUGGUCGGUACAAAGGGUUGCCAAGCCGCGAGGUGGAGCUAAUCCCAUAAAACCGAUCGUAGUCCGGAUCGCAGUCUGCAACUCGACUGCGUGAAGUCGGAAUCGCUAGUAAUCGUGAAUCAGAAUGUCACGGUGAAUACGUUCCCGGGCCUU
rnacentral:rRNA from 2 species